UACGAAAGGGGCUAGCGUUGCUCGGAAUCACUGGGCGUAAAGCGCACGUAGGCGGAUUGUUAAGUCAGGGGUGAAAUCCUGGAGCUCAACUCCAGAACUGCCUUUGAUACUGGCGAUCUUGAGUCCGGGAGAGGUGAGUGGAACUGCGAGUGUAGAGGUGAAAUUCGUAGAUAUUCGCAAGAACACCAGUGGCGAAGGCGGCUCACUGGCCCGGUACUGACGCUGAGGUGCGAAAGCGUGGGGAGCAAACAGG
rnacentral:rRNA from 1 species